UACGGAAGGCAGCAGUGGGGAAUAUUGCACAAUGGGCGAAAGCCUGAUGCAGCUAUGCCGCGUGUAUGAAGAAGGCCUUAGGGUUGUAAAGUACUUUCAUCGGGGAGGAAAAAACAAAACUAAUAAUUUUAUUUCUUGACGUUACCCGAAAAAGAAGCACCGGCUAACUCCGUGCCAGCAGCCGCGGUAAUACGGAGGGUGCUAGCGUUAAUCAGAAUUACUGGGCGUAAAGAGCACGUAGGUGGUUUUUUUAAGUCAGAUGUGAAAUCCCUGGGCUUAACCUGGAACUGCAUUUUGAAACUGAAAUACUAGAGUAUCGUAGAGGGAGGUAGAAUUCUAGGUGUAGCGGUGAAAUGCGUAGAUGUCUGGAGGAAUACCUGUGGCGAAAGCGGCCUCCUAAACGAAUACUGACACUGAGGUGCGAAAGCGUGGGGAGCAAACAGGGAUUUAGAUACC
rnacentral:rRNA from 1 species